GCCCCCGUAGCUCAGCGGACAGAGCGAGAGACUUCUAAUCUCUGGGUCGCAGGUUCGAGUCCUGCCGGGGGCAC
rnacentral:tRNA from 1 species